GGUGGCGUAUGGGACCCACAACCAGCUGGGUUUUUUUUUCUAACUUUGCGUCGAGUCGCCGCCGUGUUCGACUGUUUUUAAGGGGUUGAGGAGAUUACCGGUAACCGGCAAUAGCCAGUCUUGACACGUGUUUUGGUACUUCCAAUUCCAAAGAGAAGAUCUCAGGAUGAUUGCAGGGCACACACCACCUCGUUCCGCAUUUUCUUGAUUUACUGUGAUGUGAUACGCUAAUUGAUAUAUUUGUUUUAUUUGGAUUUUUAUGAUGAUGUUCUUUGGAUAUUGGUUUUACGACUUUAAAAAUGAAAUUUUUGGGUCUUAUUUUUGAGACGUUACACUUCUAAA